rnacentral:tRNA from 1 species
UGGCUGAGUGGUGGAGCGCUUGGCUUCGAACCGGGGGUCCCGGGUUCGAAUCCUGG